rnacentral:rRNA from 1 species
AUUGAACGCUAGCGGCAUGCCUAACACAUGCAAGUCGAACGGAGUGGCGAACGGGUGAGUAAUGUAUCGGAAUGUGCCCAGUAGCGGGGGAUAACUACGCGAAAGCGUAGCUAAUACCGCAUACUAUUGGAGCGGCCGAUAGCGGAUUAGAUAGUUGGUGGGGUAAAGGCGCACCAAGGCGACGAUCCGUAGCUGGUUUGAGAGGAGGAUCAGCCACACUGGGACUGAGACACGGCCCAGACUCCUACGGGAGGCAGCAGUGGGGAAUAUUGGACAAUGGGCGAAACCCUGAGCCAGCCAUGCCGCGUGUACGAUGAAGGCCUUCGGGUUGUAAAGCACUUUAAGCAGGGAAGCGGUACCUGCAGAAUAAGCACCGGCUAACUACGUGCCAGCAGCCGCGGUAAUUC